rnacentral:lncRNA from 1 species
UUGCGCCUUUUCUGGGAAGUAGCAUGACAAAUCGAAAUAACCAACAUUUUUAGUUUGCUUAAAGUUAUUACCUCUUUGUUGACAAGGCUCUCUUUGCCAAUACACUCGAUGAAUGGAGCAAGUCUUGUAUGUUUGGAGAGAAAUCUGGAUCUGUGGAAUGGUUUUUAAGUAAGAAAGGAUAUUGUUCAUCUGGAAUCGGAGAUUGUAUAGUUAAAGCUUCUAUACUUAGAAUUUCAACACUUGGAUUGAAAAU